rnacentral:rRNA from 1 species
CCUACGGGAGGCAGCAGUGAGGAAUAUUGGUCAAUGGACGAGAGUCUGAACCAGCCAAGUAGCGUGAAGGAUGACUGCCCUAUGGGUUGUAAACUUCUUUUAUAUGGGAAUAAAAUGUUCCACGUGUGGGAUUUUGUAUGUACCAUAUGAAUAAGGAACGGCUAACUCCGUUCCAGCAGCCGCGGGAAUACGGAGGAUCCGGGCGUUAUCCGGAUUUUUUGGGUUUAAAGGGAGCGUAGGUGGAUUGUUAAGGCAGUUGUGAAAGUUUGCGGCUCAACCGUAAAAUUGCAGUUGAAACUGGCAGUCUUGAGUACAGUAGAGGUGGGCGGAAUUCGUGGUGUAGCGGUGAAAUGCUGAGAUAUCACGAAGAACUCCGAUGGCGAAGGCAGCUCACUGGACUGCAACUGACACUGAGGCUCGAAAGUGUGGGUAUCAAACAGGAUUAGAUACCCGGGUAGUC